rnacentral:misc_RNA from 1 species
UCCGGUUUGUCACCGGCAGUCUCAUUAGAGUGCCCAACUGAAUGUAGCAACUAAUGACAAGGGUUGCGCUCGUUGCGGGACUUAACCCAACAUCUCACGACACGAGCUGACGACAGCCAUGCAGCACCUGUGUUCCCGUUCCCUUUCGGGCACAGCCCCCUUUCAGGGGCCUCCAGGACAUGUCAAGGGUAGGUAAGGUGGGGAUGACGUUGACGUCAUAACC